rnacentral:rRNA from 1 species
GACGAAGGUGGCGAGCGUUGUUCGGAAUCACUGGGCUUAAAGCGCACGUAGGCGGCUCUUCAAGUGUCUUGUGAAAUCCCUCGGCUCAACCGAGGAAUUGCUGGGCAUACUGUCGAGCUUGAGGCAGGUAUGGGUUGGUGGAACUCUUGGUGGAGCGGUGGAAUGCGUAGAUAUCAAGAGGAACACGGUGGUGAAGACGACCAACUAGGCCUGUCCUGACGCUGAGGUGCGAAAGCCAGGGGAGC